AUCACAGCCCGUGUGUGCCUGCUGCUCGGUGCCCAUCCCUUUCUGUAGUGUAAGCACUCUGCUCCCUUCCCUUGGUAGCAGUGGUGGGUCUGGUGCUGCGUUUCAGCAUGUCUGCAUGCGUAUCUUUAGUCCUGCAAUAAUCCCCAUUGCACAGAUGGUUCCACCUGGUAUUUAAGCCUUCACUUCACUUUGUUUUAAGGCUUGCUUAACAGUUUUCUUGUUGAUCGACUCAGCAUCAAUCACCGUAAUGUGCCAGAAAUGCUGUUCCCAUUAACAACUGCAUUUUGUUGGAAGCUGGGUAGCCCACAGUGCUGCUCCGGGUCCAGCACAAGGAUGGGCAUUUAUCUGUGAAAGCUGGGGGAUCUGCAGCCCACAGCACCCUGCAGUUGUAUGGAGCAGCCCUGAGAAGUCGCCCUGCAUCCAGGUUCCCAGGCCUGUCCCAGUUUGGGCACACAGCAUCGAUGUGAUGACACCUGCAGACCUCUGCUGCAACUGGAACUAAAGUUUGAGAGCAAACAGCCUGGAGUGCAUGUUCACAAGCUGCAGCUACCAGCUGGACACCAAGGAUGAAGUGGCACCAGCUACCAGCUUUGCUUGUACUCACUGCCACAUAUUGCACAUCAAGCCAGCUGCAAGAAACUAAGCCAUUAAGCUGCCUUCUCAUACACAUUAAUUAUGAAGAUACCAUCACUCAUGUUUGUCAACUACAAACCGUCCUGUGAUAAUUGAUUUAUUUUCUUUUAGUGCAGGGAGUUGUAAUGCUGAAGUUGCAAACUGUGCUGGCAGGCAAUUCCUGCAAGGACCCGAUCCCAGUGAGCUGGUGAAACCUCCCUUUGUCACCACAAGGCCUGGAAAGGUGUAGACCGAUGUCCCCCAUCCUCUUGGCCAGUGUGCCUACCUUCUGGUAUCUGCCCUCGCCAAAGGUGUCCUUCUGACAUAGGUUUGGCUGAAGAUCAGGCAAUUAUUUGAUGCUUUGAAUGUUGACUUAGGGAAAAGCUUUCAGGCCAAGAGGGUGUUGCUCGAAGCCUAUCUCAGGCACCCUCAACACCCCUAAAUUUUGCUGGGAUCCAUUGGUUCUGAGUACCCUGAGUCCCCUCUUUGCCAUCUCCAAUGUGUUUAUGGGCAAUGAGAGGGGCUGUUGUCCCUCUUCCAAAGGCAAAGGCAGCAGUGAUGGUGAAGCCCAAGCCCAUGCUUUUUCUGUUCUCCUCCAGCCCAUGCUGCUGGCACUGGGCUCUCCUAACACAUCUCUGCCCUUUCCUGCUGCAGGGAAAGACUGCAACAUAGGGCAGGAGAGGAAAAACCCCUCCAAUUAUGCUUUCUGCCUGUGCUGGCCAUGGUCUGCAGCCCAAGUUACCAAUGGGACUUGCUAAUAGAGCAUCUGGGACAGUCUUGCACUGUUUUCCCCAUAGCUGGUUUUCGGAUUAGUGCCUCCCAGCUGAUCGCUCUCCCAGAUGUGUGUGUGUCCAUACAUGCAGUCAGAUCACUGAUGGAUGCUCUGCAGCCAUCUGGAUGUCGGGGAGAAAUGACAAAUUUCCCCCUUACUGCCAGCCACCCCUUCCAUGAGAUAUUGAUGAAUGGCAUCUUUAUUGGCUGCUGGGCUAAUUAAAUAAAAGUUGCAUCAGCUUCUAGCUGACAGGCUCUAAUUGCUCCUGAUCAGAUUUUGAGAGGACCAAAUGAAUAGGAAAAUAAAAGGAAAUAGCAUGGAUUGGAUCCAAGAAAGUAUCUGACAGCAUUGUGCUUCUGUAGACCUGCAGGUGCUCAACACUGCAAAAGGAGUGUCUGGGAACCAGCAACCCUGCUGUGUUUAGAGGGUUUAGAAGGAUGCUUAAGCCCCAGGGCGGAGUGCCCAGGUUUUGGGUGGGUCCAGGACCUGGUGCACCACACAUCCCAGCACAGACAAACAUACCAAGAUGAAUGGUGAGGCUCUGUCACUUCAGUGGUGUCUGCUCCCCAGGGGACCCUGAGGCUAUAUCUGGGCACAGCCAUUCCAAGAGGCUUGUGCCAUGUUUAAUUUAUGGGCUGAUUAAUGAGUUCUUAGCAUACAAUGCAUUUAAUUCCAUUUUGGCCUGAUUUAUGGUAGGACGUGAACCGCAUGUGAAGUUUUUAAUUCAGUAGGUGGUGACUCUGAUUCAGUAUAUGGAGUGUGACGGAAGAGGUGAUGAAUUUGGUUCCAAAGGCAAUGCAUCAAGCUCAGCAUGAAGUGCCCCAAAUCUAUUGCACGUCGCAUCGGCUUCAAAUAUGCCCAUAGUAAGUGGGGCACCCUUACCUGAGUCCCACAGCCACCACCUUCCCUUGCUGAUGGUCUUCUCUUCAGCCUUCCAGGAUGUGAAGAAAACCAGCAAAACAGCCCAUCAGGUGCUGGUUAGAUAUUUGUCUUCAACUCAAUACAUGGCCAGCCCCACAACUAACGUGUAAGGGUGGCUGAAAACCUGCUGGCAAAAUGCUCGAAGAAACAGAAAACUUGUAUUGGAGGGAAAUGAAACCCCAGGGCACAAAACUUAUGUCUGGAAACCUUUGUCUUAAGACUCGAUAGAGGGCUGCAGCCAUCAGGGUGGAUAAAGAUGAGGAUGUUUUCCAUCAACUGUGUUAAUCCGAUCUGUCUCUGCAUACAGUUUUUUUUUUUGGAGAGCAGAUAAAAUACAACAGAUCCUGACAUGCUGAUCAGCCAAACCCUGCUGCCAUUUACAGGCAGGGGCUCCUACUGUGCCACGUACCCAAGAAGGGAUGCACCAAGGACACAAACAGGGGCUUGAGUACCUCUAAUGUACCCCUGCUCUGCUUGCAGUGAGGUGUUUGCAGGCUUGGUCUUUGCCCAAAACCUCUCCAGGAAACACAUCGUGCUGCUCCUGCCGCUGUCACCCAGGCAGCUUCAACCCUGGUCUCCAGAAGGGUAGAACAAACCCCUCUGGCAUGCUUUAAAUAGUUGAAACAACACCCUUCCAAGAGCAAAAACACUCACAAAUUUGAACUCCCAUUUUGGCAUCACCUCACGAACAACUUUGCUAAUGAAAUGCUGGGUUUGGGGAGCCUCUGUGCCCUCUCUGCCAUCCCACAACAUCCAAGGGAGGAUGCUUAUGCCGUGCUGUGCCCCAGGCAUGGCAAUGAGCACUGGGGACCCUCCCAGUGCUGUCUCUGUGCAGCCAGCCUCAGUGGCUGCAUCUGGGAUGCCAGUCUCUGCUCCUGUGUUGUGGCCAUGGGGUAAUGGGCUGGGCUUUGUGGCACUGCUCAACAUGCUGCAGCACAGCUCAAACACCCUGCAGGGCUUUACACUGCCAGAAAAUGUCUUGGUUGUGGAGAAGAGCAUGUAAUUUCUUUUCUUUGUUUAUUUGUUUUGCAUGGGAGGCAAGGCUGAUGGCUCAUAAUGAACAAGUAUUAUAGCUGAGUGCAGUUGGGCCCAUAAAUCAGUUGCUCCUUCUGGAGCACCAGCCAUCAGCAGCUGUCUGAGCUCUAAAAUCACCAGCACCAGCAUCUCCUCCGGAACAGGAGCAGUCUGCUGACACUGCCAUCCCCCUGGUGUCCUUCUCCAGCACUAUGUGCUGUGAAGAGCCAGGCCUCCUGGUGGCUGAUAUCCUCCUGUUUACAUUGCCAAGGCCUUCAGCAGUUAUCUUGGUCCUCCUUCAAAUCCAGUGUCUAUCAUCGGCUUUGUCUGGCAUCCGUGAGACUGCUGCAUCCUGGUGGGCUGGCUUGUAUCUCUGCUGUUUAUUCUUCACUAUCUCCAUCCAUCCAUCCAUCCAUCCACCCACCAACCCACCCAUCCAUCCAUCUUUCAUUUAACACUGCAAGACCAUAGCACAGGAAAUAUCUCUUUUCUCCAUUCUAUUCCAUUCCUUUAGCAGCAGGUUUUGACUGAACAAAUUCCUUUUUUGCCCGUGAACAUAGCGAGCUUUAAAAUGUGACCUGAGACCUCUAUGUAAGGUCUGUCCUCUGUAUGCAGAGCAUAAUAGCUGGACAUGGUCCUUUCCUGAUGGCUUGUGCCUUUUCUGUGCAGAGAGAACAACCUGUAGCUUCAUGUGAGAAACUCCCUGCUCACAGCAGCGGGUGCUUGAGUUAGCUGAUAAUCCACAAUGAUGAGCUUUCUAUGUACUACAGCACCCAGGAGACCUGAGGUGAAUACCCGAGCACAUUUCUCUGUUGGCAUAUAGCUCAGAUCCAGGCUAAUAGCAAUGCCUUCUCUUUAAAAGGUUUUAAGUUAUAUAAUGUGGGCAGUUCCUCGCUUGUUUUGGAUCCACCUGGAAAUCAGCAGCUCCCUGAUUGCCACCACCAGCAUCUGCCUGGGUGCAGUUGUGCUGUACAGCUUCAGGUUACAAAGAGAGCUGAAACUUCCAGACAUAUGGUGCUCGAUUCCCAACUGGUAAUUGCAUCAACUUAGGAUCAAUGGAGUGGAAUAAUAUCUGCCCACUAAUAACAGUCUAAUAAAAUUAAUAGCAUUGGCUAUGCCAUGAAUUACUUUAAAGUAGGGAUUGGAGGAUAGUAACGUAAACAAGCAUUGAUUUUCCUCAGGGAAAUGGACUGCUGUGUCUCCUCAGAGCAGGCUUUUGGAGGGCUGCGCUGCUGCUGUGGCAGUGCCUUUGCUCCUUGCGGGGUCACUGAAUGUCCACCACUUUAUUUGUGCUGUUCCCAUCGAACAUCAUGCUUGUGUGUUUGCAGCAUCCUGCUGCUGCUGGCUUUCUCAAAGCCCUGGGGAGCAAAGCUCUCUGACAUGCACAGCCCAUGCAUCACAUCUUGGUGAGCAGAGGCUGCGAGGCCAUGCUGAGGUUGCUGACGUGUCCUUCUGCAGUGUGCAGGGAGUCACUUAUCUCCCUCCUGAACACCGCGUUUUAAAGACAGCCUGCUUUAUUUUUAGCUUUUAAUGUGGUGUAAUUUUGAGCUGCUGCAUUCAAGCAGAUGGACAUUUGGUGUCCGGAUAGACAACACAACAUAAAGUAACAAUCAUCUGGUUCCUCUCCAUCUGGAUUUGCCAAACAAAUCAUUAUAGCGAAACUCCUUCAGAGAGGAGACUGAGCUCAUUGGCACCAACAUGCCAUAAGCGACAGAAGACGCCCGACUCCACACAAUACAUCCAUCCCAAUCCCCUGCUGGAAAUCAGGGAGGUUAAAAAUAAAAACCCUUUGAGUUUUGACUGUUUACACAGCUGUAGCAUAAAUAUUUAGAUUUGCGAUAGAAACGCUUGCUCAGCCAAAACCCUUCCCAGAUCUCUGCAGUCAGCAGCGGGGCUUUAUAGAGGCCUGGCGUUUCCUUGGAAAACUGAAACUGAUGAUAAUGAAAGCCGAGAGCAACGUCCAUCUGUGGUGCCGCAGCACCAGGGACACGGGUGACACUCACCAAGGGACACCGGGCAUGGGUACGGACACGGGGCCACGGGCAGCAGCCCCAGAUGCAUCCUCCAUCCUCCUGGCACCACCUCGUGGCCUGGGCCGUGUCGGCUCCUUCCAUCUCUUCACCUGCUGAAAGCCACGGAGAGGAUUUCCCACCCGGCAAACCGUCGCUUUAGGAGCACCGUAAGGUACAGCCAUUAUUAAAACGGGUUCUUUUCCUAAUGCACCUACUGUGUCUUCAUUAUGUCAGCGCACCUCUAUGAAGAGAUUUGUAGAGGAAUCCAUCCAUUCAUUCCCACACCUAAUUCCUCAAUAGCCCAUUUGCUUCAAAGACUUUUAUCGACUUUUACUACUGCAUGAAUCCUCAGAUAUUUAUUUUUUAGGCCCCGGGGGACCCACUGUAGAAGAAAUGCGCUUUAUGAAGUUUUAUGGCAAAGGUUUUGCUGUGGAUAAAAGCUUCCCAUUAUUUCUGAACUUCUGUUCUCCACAAAGCAGGUUUCGUAGGGUCUGCUCUGAGACUGCCACAGGGCUCCUUGGACUGAAAAUUCAGCUCCUAGGAAUAAGUAAGAAAAGGAAAAGGACUUCCCACUGAUAUUUGGUGUUUUGGGUCCUGUUGUUUCAAAUGUUUCAGUUUGGCGGCGCACUCUGGGACCCCACCUGUUCUGGGAUGAGCACGGGCAGGCCGCAGCAUGGAUAAAGCUUUUUCCCACCCCCAUCAUCACUUGCUGUCAGCGACGUUCUCAGAUGUGGGACCUUAAACUAGGCUGGCAGAGCAGGUAGCAAAACCAACACCACGAGCACCUGAGACAUCUCCAGCCCUCCAGGUUGGCCUGGGAAAUUGUGAGUGACAAGAACUGGCGCAAUUAGGCCCGGUCAUCCCAGGUUAUCACCAGCAUCCUACAACCCUGCUGCUCCGUCCUCUCCUUCCCCCAGAACUUUGCUCUCUCAUUAAUCGAAACAAACUUUCUGUCACUGCUGAUUGCAUUACCCGGUAUCAGCUGCCUGGAAGGAUGAAAAUAAAAGCUGGGAAGCGUGCUCCUUCUGUCCAAAUAGAGAGGUGCCAAGGAGUGUAAUAUAAUCAGGCCAUGAUCAAAUUAAGUGGAAGAGACUGCACCGUGCCCACAAAAUAUCUGUCCCCGUGAUUAAUUUGAGGUUUGGUCCCUGUUUGCUGAUGCGAUUGGAGGUCCCUGCAAUGUGGGAGAGGCUGGGAGACCACAGCCGGGGCUUGGAGAGGUGUCCCCACUGCACCUCCCCAUCAAAGUGCCCAAACUGCCUCUCCAGCAAAGGAAAAGGCCUCAGGGCAGCUGAGCCUCACAGCCGGGCUGCAUCCUGCACAGAGCUUUCCUCCUUUGGGACAGCAGGAAGUGAAGAAGAGCAGAUGAGGGACAAAAGGAAAAGCUCGCUGUGAGCUUGGAAGGAAAAUCCACACAGCAUUUAUAUUGGAGGGAAGAAAAUGAGGAUUUACGGCUGUGGAAAGACUUGAGGCAGGGCCCCAGCACUGAGCACACCUCGAAUCAUGAUGGAUCUCCCAGCUGCUGCAGCUAAUGUGUUAUAUAUUGAAAUCAUUUGUGUUCAUUUGCAGCAAAUAAUUACUUUAAAAUGUUAUCAUUCAUUCGGGUUAUUUGACUUCUCUAUUAAUUGUUUGAGAAACCAUUUAGAAGACUGCAUUUUCAUCAGUGGAAAUCAUCAGCAUUGCUCCUGCAGUUGUUGGAACCCAUUCCUGAGGGCUGAAGGGCUGCUCACACCUCCAAUUUCCGGCUUCUCUCCCAGUUGCUGGGAAAUAUGCCCAUUUCCAUGUAAAGGUGCACCUGGUUGAGGCCGGGAUAAGGCUUGGAGGGGUCAGGAUUGGGGUGCUGGGCACAGGGCUGAGCGCUGCCUGCUGCCUCCCUGCACUGGGAAGGGCUCUGAUGGCCUUUUGGUCACAGGAGGAUGAUUUAAGGCACCAAAAGUUUCAAGCCAGGACUUUUAACUGAAAAGAGGCAUCGAUUUUCUGUAGCUGUGGGAAUAAAAGACUUGCUGUGGCACGAGAAGAAAAAGGAAAGCUGUUCAAGGAGCCACCUUGGCAUGUGCUGUGCAUGCUAUUAUCCGUGCUGUGCAGAGCAGAGAUGGAGGGCACUGGCACCUUUUGGGGUGCAGCACUACAGCCCCUUGCUUGGGCGGCAAAUCACAUCCCUUGAGCAAAACCAGGGAGAAAGGCGGAGCGAUGAAUGCCACAAGCCCUGCCUGCUCCCUGUGAAGAUCUGUCCCUGGGACCUGCCAGCAACUGCUGUGCCUGCACCUACCUCGUCCUGCUGCUAAUGGUGAGUUCCUGCGCUUCGAGUGUAUGUGGAGGCAGUUGGCCCUCAUUGCAUUGUUACGCGUGGUGUGAAUCAGGAAAAGGGGCUGCACAAAGCAUAUAGGAUGGAUUGUUUUUAUCUUUGCUGUACCCUUGAGCAACUCGUGUGUGUGCCUGCACAGGGUCAGGGCUGCAGUGCUCCCUGCAGGAAAGGCCCUGGCCAGUGCCCAGAGC
rnacentral:lncRNA from 1 species